CCCUUAGAUGUUCUGGGCCGCACGCGCGCUACACUGACGGAGGCAGCGAGCAUGUCCUUCGCCGAGAGGUGUGGGGAAUCUUGUGAGUCUCCGUCGUGCUGGGGAUAGAUGGUUGCAAUUGUCGAUCUUGAACGAGGAAUUCCUAGUAAGCGCGAGUCAUCAGCUUGCGUUGAUUACGUCCCUGCCCUUUGUACACACCGCCCGUCGCUCCUACCGAUUGAAUGGUCCGGUGAAGCGUUCGGACCGUGGCCUUUGGACGGUUCGCCGUCUGUUGGCUGCGGGAAGUUCGUUAAACCUUAUCAUUUAGAGGAAGGAGAAGUCGUAACA
rnacentral:rRNA from 1 species